CUGGUCAGGACGAACGCUGGCGGCGUGCCUAAUACAUGCAAGUCGAACGGUCUUUCUAUGGAAGCUUGCUUCCACUGAGAAGAUAGUGGGCGAACGGGGUGAGUAACACGUGGGUAACCUGCCCAUAAGAGGGGGAGUAACAUCCGGAAACGGGUGCUAAUACCGCAUAGUUUUCUUGAUCGCAUGAUUGAGAAAGGAAAGACGGCCUUUGUGCUGUCGCUUAUGGAUGGACCCGCGGCGUAUUAGUUAGUUGGUGAGGUAACGGCUCACCAAGACGAUGAUACGUAGCCGACCUGAGAGGGUGAUCGGCCACAUUGGGACUGAGACACGGCCCAAACUCCUACGGGAGGCAGCAGUAGGGAAUCUUCCGCAAUGGACGAAAGUCUGACGGAGCAACGCCGCGUGAGUGAAGAAAAGGUUUUCGGAUCGUAAAACUCUGUUGUCAGAGAAGAACAAGUUGGAGAGUAACUGCUCCAGCCUUGACGGUAUCUGACCAGAAAGCCACGGCUAACUACGUGCCAGCCGCUGC
rnacentral:rRNA from 1 species